UACGGAGGUGGCAAGCGUUACUCGGAAUCAUUGGGCGUAAAGAGCGUGUAGGCGGUCCGGUAAGUCCGUUGUGAAAGUCAGGGGCUCAACCCUUGAAUGCCGGCGGAUACUGUCGGGCUAGAGUCCGGAAGAGGCAAGUGGAAUUCCCGGUGUAGCGGUGAAAUGCGCAGAUAUCGGGAGGAACACCUAUGGCGAAGGCAGCUUGCUGGGACGGUACUGACGCUGAGACGCGAAAGCGUGGGGAGCAAACAGG
rnacentral:rRNA from 1 species